GAUGAAGAACGCAGCAAAAUGCGAUACUUGGUGUGAAUUGCAGAAUCCCGUGAACCAUCGAGUUUUUGAACGCAAGUUGCGCCCGAAGCCUUUUGGCCGAGGGCACGUCUGCCUGGGCGUCACGCAUCGCGUCGCCCCCCACAAUUCUCCGUAAAGGGAACGUGUGUUUUGGGGGCGGAUAUUGGUCUCCCGUGCUCAUGGCGUGGUUGGCCGAAAUAGGAGUCCUUUCGAUGGACGCACGAACUAGUGGUGGUUGUAAAAACCCUCGUCUUUUGUUUCGUGCUGUUGCUCGCAAGGUAAACUCUUUAAAAACCCCAAUGUGUCGUCUCUUGACGACGCUUCGACCGCGACCCCAGGUCAGGCGGGACUACCCGCUGAGUUUAAGCAUAUCAAUAAGCGGAGGA
rnacentral:misc_RNA from 1 species